rnacentral:lncRNA from 1 species
UCAGCCCUCAUGAAUGGAUUAGUUAUAUCAUCAAAGGGCUUGAUAAUAAAACUAGCUAGUCCCUUCAAUCCCUUCUGCCAUGUGAGGACAUUGUUGUUCCCCUCCAGAGGAAGCAGCGGUCAAGGCAUCAUCUUAGAGGCAGAAACCAAGCCCCCACCAGACACCAAAUCUGCCAGAGCCUUCAUCUUAGACUUUCAGCCUCCGUUAACUGAAGAAAAUGGUAUAUAAGCAGAGUCUGCACACAUACUACCACCCCACAGAGGGGAGGGAAAAAAGACCUAAUUAGAGCCAAAACCCUGAAUUCCAUCUCCUAUGUGUGAUCAUCUGUGCAGAUAAACACUCUCACCACAUCCUAGAAGGACAGUAGUGUUCAUUCACUCUGUGGGGAGAUCUUCCACUCUGUGAAAAAUUUAAAGUUAAACUGGAAAGUUUUAUAUUUGGGGAACUACUACCAAAUAUAAUUAACUAUUUUCUUUGAAGACCUCUCCCACCCAACUUCUUUCUAGACCACAGGAAUGAAAAUAAGCCCGUUGUGUAAUCUGCAAAGUAAAAGUAAAAGGCUGCAGUCCUGCUUUGACAUGGACCUUUCUCUCUCAAGUUCAAGCUUAUUUUUCUUAGUAAAAUUUCUAAGAGGGAAUGAUAUU